GAUGAACGCUGGCGGCGCGCCUAACACAUGCAAGUCGAACGGUUAAAGCACCUUUUAGGUGUGUAUAAAGUGGCGAACGGCUGAGUAACACGUGGGCAACCUGCCCUCCUCUUGGGGAUAGCCUCGGGAAACCGAGGAUAAUACCCGAUACUUCAAUGUGGCCGCAUGACGACAUUGAGAAAGCUUUUGCGGAGAAGGAUGGGCCCGCGGCCUGUUAGCUUGUUGGUGGGGUAGAGGCCUACCAAGGCAAUGAUGGGUAGCUGGGUUGAGAGACCGACCAGCCAGAUUGGGACGGAGACACGGCCCAGACGCCUACGGGAGGCAGCAGUGGGGAAUCUUGCACAAUGGGCGAAAGCCUGAUGCAGCGACGCCGCGUGCGGGACGAAGGCCUUCGGGUUGUAAACCGCUUUCAGCAGGGACGAGGCGAUAAGUGACGGUACCUGCAGAAGAAGCCCCGGCUAACUACGUG
rnacentral:rRNA from 1 species